ACUUGCUCUGAGACAGGUGCGGCAAGUCUACUGCGGGCUGGUCCGGGCUCCUCAGGUUCAGACCCGACCGUUAUCCAGUCGGUUCGUGGAGAGGAGAGUGUAUGUGGUAGAAGACCAAAGAAGAGAUGAGCUAGGACCAUCCACCUGCCUCACAGCCUGCUGGACGGCUCUCUGUUGCUGCUGUCUCUGGGACAUGCUCACCUGACCAGACCAGCCCAGCCGUCCUGUCCUGCCAGCUCUGCUGCCACCUCUGACAGCUGAUUGUGAAUUGCUUCCUUGGACUGAAGAAUAAACCUAUGAAACACAAGAAAGUUGAAAAUUAAGCCACAUGACUAUUGUAUUCAUCGAAAUCAAUAGCUACAUACUACAAAUAUUAAACUGAGCAAAUUAAAAGGACAAAUGCAUAUUAACAUAAUACGUCAAGCUCAGGAAACCACCAGAAGUUUAAACCUUCCUGGCUGAGAAGGAAUAAAGGCUUAAAUGUAGAUUCUGCUUUCUUAUUUAAUAUAGGAAUCAGGCAGGGAACAGUGGUGUGGGCCUACAGUCCCAGAUACUCAGGAGGCUGAGGUGGGAGGAUUGUUUGAGCCCAGGUGUCUGAGUCUAGUCUGGGCAACAUAGCAAGACCCUGUCUCAUUAAAAAAAAAAGCCGGGGGGGUUGCGGGAGUUGGGCACAGUGGCUCACACCUGUAAUCCCAGCACUCUGAGAGGCCAAGGCAGGAGGACUGCUUGAGCCUGGGAGUUCAAGACUAGCCCAGGCAACAUGACGAGACCCAUCUCUACAAAAAAUAAAUUUAAAAUAUUAGUCAGGCACAGU
rnacentral:sRNA from 1 species